AGAGUCAUUAUCCCUGCACUCGGUGUAGCCCCUGCACCUCUGUGCUGGAGCCCGUGAGCCUCUCUCAGGCCGCGCCGUCCAGGGCACCCUGCGCACGGUUUUCCCGGGCUCCGGGGUCCCCUUGCCUCUCUUACCCUACCCCGCCAGGCCCGCGGAGGCUGCUCCUCCUCAGGUGGCCCGGCCGGGGCCUUCCCCCCGCAGACCUGUCACCCGACACCCAGGAAGCGCGCGGCCCCAUCCCGGCUCCUCUUUGUUCCCCCGCCGGGCUCCGCGCUCGGGCGCCGCCUCCUCCAGCGUCGCGCUCUGGAGGUUCUGGGCGCCGCCUUCGGGGCGGCCCGGGAGCUCCUUGGGUUCCGUCCAUAGGCCCGCUCCGAACCAGGGUGUCCUUUUUGCCUUGUUUCUCCGAUGUGGACUCCUCUCGGAGCUAGGAGGCGGCGGCGAGCCCAGCCCGGAGCCGGCGCAGGGAGCCUGGCACCAGAGGCAGGAGCCUCCACAGCAACUUCUCUCUAGGCAGCCGCUCUGGCAACCACUGAUGCAACCUUUUCAGCCCCUCCCUUGCCUCCCUGCCUCCUGCUUUCCUCUGCAGUUCCCUCGGAGCCAGACAGAAGCCGCUCCCCUUGUUAGAGAAUGCCUCCAGCUCCAUGCAUGCUGCCCCCUGGCCCUGGGUCUCCUGGCCCCCCGCCCCUCCUGUCCAGGCUUUUUCCUGCCUGGGUCCCAGCUGCGGGCCAGCAACAGAGAUGGCCAGCUUGCACAGUUCACAGUCUGGUCAGGUUUGGGAUGAGAGUGGCCGGUUUGGUUGGCCCCCUGGGGCUCCUCUGGCCACCGUGGGGCAGGCUGGGAAUGGGGGAUGGAGGAGACUGAGGCAUCUUGGGACGGGACUGCUGGUGUCCGCUCAGAGGCCAGGAGAGGCGCCCUGGGUGUCCUGCUGGUCACUGUUCAUUUGGGGCCUGGCAUGAUGGGCAGAGAGGAGGCUCCGGCAGCUGAGCUGGAUGUGGGCUGGGGGACAGGAGAGGGACUUCGGAGGGCUUUCAGGCCGAGACAGGAAACACCUUGAUCUGGAUACCGCCCCCCCUCCCCUCCCCCUCUUCAAAGCCAGGAGCUGGGCGCCUCUCCUCAGCUCAGAGGUCAUCUUCGGUUGAGACAUGGCUUGUGGAACUUGUGAAGGUGCUGGGUGGAACGAG
ensembl:lncRNA